CAGCAACCGCUGCUUUAACCAUUCUCUCGUUCUUUUAGUUACAAAACAACAACAACUCUCCCUCUUUCCCUCUUUCCCUCAACGCAAAGGCCACGAAAUCAAUUACUUGUUGGGGUUGGGUUGGGUUGGGUCGGGUCGGGUAAACGGGCAUCCAAAUUUUUUAAGGGUCCCGCCAUGGGCCCAACCAAUUCGGUUUGCGGCUUUUCCUAAUCUUAUCUCCUUCGUAACUCCAGCGGGUAAAAACGUUACGGACUGACUCAGUGAGUUUGUGAUCGAGUCAAAGACGAGCAGGCCUGGGUAAGAGAGAUCUCCCAGAGGGCUUGCAUCAAGCUAGUCCUCCACUCCAAGUUCCUUCUCUUGAAUCCUCUGGAGAUCUCUCUCGUCAUGAUUUUGAAGGCAGGGAAGUAACUUCCAGCAGCUGUUAGUGUCCCUUAGGAUUUCAAUUAGAAAAGAUGGAAACUUUUAGCCUUGUUUUGCUUGACUUUGAAACAGUACACUGAUGACUUCAGAUUUGCUUGGAGAAUGAUCAGAGCAAGAUGGAGGCAGCAAGCUACUUUUAAAGGUGUCAUCAGGGAGUAUUUUUUAUCAGAUUUGCAUUUCAUCAGAGAAAAUAGAUGGACCUCGCAGAUUUUGAUGAUCAUCCCACAAUGUCACCAAGGACUGGCUGAACCCUGCAUUCCUCAGCUGUAGAACUGCCAGGCGAUGUACCUAUGCUCUUCAGUCUUCAUCAUAAUCAUCCACGGUCUAAGAAAGUCCAGAGAAAAUAUAUGUUCAACUGCAGCAAGGUUUUAGAACACCGGGCAGCCCUUAACUACGAUCCCUUUCGCUGUCGGGC